AGUGAACGCUGGCGGUAGGCCUAACACAUGCAAGUCGAACGGCAGCACAGUAAGAGCUUGCUCUUACGGGUGGCGAGUGGCGGACGGGUGAGGAAUACAUCGGAAUCUACUUUUUCGUGGGGGAUAACGUAGGGAAACUUACGCUAAUACCGCAUACGACCUACGGGUGAAAGCAGGGGAUCUUCGGACCUUGCGCGAUUGAAUGAGCCGAUGUCGGAUUAGCUAGUUGGCGGGGUAAAGGCCCACCAAGGCGACGAUCCGUAGCUGGUCUGAGGGGAUGAUAAGCCCCAUGGGAACGGAGACACGGCCCAGCCCCCUAGGGGGGGGAGCGGUGGGGAAUUUUGGAAAAGGGGCGAAAGCCUGACCCAGCCAUACCGCGUGGGGGAAAAAGGCCUUCGGGUUGUAAAGCCUUUUUGUUGGGAAAAAAAAGCAGCAGGUUAAUACCCCGCUGUUCUGACGGUACCAAAAGAAUAAGCACCGGCUAACUUCGU
rnacentral:rRNA from 1 species